ACGAACGCUGGCGGCGUGCUUAACACAUGCAAGUCGAACGGUGAAGCGCCUUCCUUUUUGGUGGGUGUGGAUGAGUGGCGAACGGGUGAGUAACACGUGAGUAACCUGCCCCCUUCUUCAGGAUAACCGCAUGAAAGUGUGGCUAAUACGGGAUAUUCUGGGUCUGUCGCAUGAUGGGUCUGGGAAAGAUAUUGUUUCGGUGGGGGAUGGGCUCGCGGCCUAUCAGCUUGUUGGUGGGGUGAUGGCCUACCAAGGCGGUGACGGGUAGCCGGCCUGAGAGGGUGGACGGUCACACUGGGACUGAGACACGGCCCAGACUCCUACGGGAGGCAGCAGUGGGGAAUAUUGCACAAUGGGCGCAAGCCUGAUGCAGCGACGCCGCGUGAGGGAUGGAGGCCUUCGGGUUGUGAACCUCUUUCGCCAGUGAAGCAGGCCUGCCUCGUUUGUGGGUGGGUUGACGGUAGCUGGAGAAGAAGCGCCGGCUAACUACGUG
rnacentral:rRNA from 1 species